UGGGGAUGACGUCAAGUCCUCAUUGGCCCUUAUGGGUAGGGCUUCACACGUCAUACAAUGGUCGGUACAGAGGGUUGCCAAGCCGCGAGGUGGAGCCAAUCCCUUAAAGCCGAUCGUAGUCCGGAUCGUAGUCUGCAACUCGACUACGUGAAGUCGGAAUCGCUAGUAAUCGCAGAUCAGCAUGCUGCGGUGAAUACGUUCCCGGGCCUU
rnacentral:rRNA from 1 species